UCGGGAAUAUUGCGCAAUGGAGGAAACUCUGACGCAGUGACGCCGCGUAUAGGAAGAAGGUUUUCGGAUUGUAAACUAUUGUCGUUAGGGAAGAGAAAGGACAGUACCUAAGGAGGAAGCUCCGGCUAACUACGUGCCAGCAGCCGCGGUAAUACGUAGGGAGCGAGCGUUAUCCGGAAUUAUUGGGUGUAAAGGGUGCGUAGACGGGAGAACAAGUUAGUUGUGAAAUACCUCGGCUCAACUGAGGAACUGCAACUAAAACUGUACUUCUUGAGUGCAGGAGAGGUAAGUGGAAUUCCUAGUGUAGCGGUGAAAUGCGUAGAUAUUAGGAGGAACACCAGUGGCGAAGGCGACUUACUGGACUGUAACUGACGUUGAGGCACGAAAGCAUGGUAGCAAACAGGAUUAGAUACCC
rnacentral:rRNA from 1 species